GGAUGUCGAGUGCCACCGUGUCCCUGAGGUCACCCUUUCUCCUGUUGGGAGAGCACGAGGUGUAUGGAGAGGAUCCCCAGGCAUCUGCAGGAACAAGGGACUUCUAUGACUCCAACUUGCCUACUGCAGCUGUAGGAUGGACUUUCAAGAUACCAUUGGGAAUGUGCCAGCACUCUCCUGCUGGAGUUUUUUUAGGCUGUAUUUGAACACAAUGAGUAAAACUAAAGUCAGGAGAAAAUGGGGACAGUGGGCAGGAAGAAGAGAAGCCCUGUGACUCCUCCCUGAGCCCCAGCCAGCCCCUGAACUGCCUUCCUGGGAAUGGUGGGACGGGCUGGACUCUGGAUUGCUCCCUCUGGAUGUGUGGUAAGACUGUUAGGGCAACUUUUCCAACAGCCUGUAAGAAUUUGCUGCCUUGGCUAGAUGGUGCAAGGGCAGCCUUUAAGCAGCUGAAGCCUUCCCUGAGGAGAGCUCUGGGUGUGCCAGAUGUGUCAGAACUGUUGGAAGCAUCUUGGGUGGGGAGGGCAAAGAAAGGCCAAGGUGUGCAGUGACCCCCUGAGAAGGGACUUUGAGUUAAUGGCAUCCCUGCAAGUGAACUUUGUGGGCUGUUCCCCCUGUAGGGCAGGUGAUAGUCCCAGCUACAGUGAUGGGAAAAAUGGUUAAAAGGGAGCCCCAAAAGCUGGAAAUCCUCCUGGAGGCUCUUGGCAAAGAGAGUUUGCUGAGUUCCCCCUGCCAGAAGGACAGUGACAGCUUUUGAGUGCUGGUAGAUCCUUUGAAUAGACAGCCUUGAGUGUGUCCUUGUUGCACCAGUAGGCCUUGUCCAAUUCCCCAUGUUCCAGCAGAUAUACAUGUUAAAGUUUAAAAUGCUGUUCCUAAUCCUUUGUUGGCUUGAGGCUCUCCCCUCAGGAACUGCAGGAACUCCUGGUGCCGCCUGGGCCGAUGGAUUGGACGCCCCAGCCCCUCCGUUCCUGCCCAGCCCCUGGGGCCGUGUCCAGUGGUGGCACUGCCAGCCCUGCAGGGGAAGUGGGAAGGGCCUUUGCAGGUCUGGUGGAUCCCAUUUAUGGCAGUGGGAUGUAGCCUGGAAACUGCACAGAGCUGAGCCCAGGGAUUGAAAGGGACCAAGCAAGGGAGGUGAAGAAAGAAGGAAGAAGGGAACUGAGGCAUGAGCCAAGCAGCACCAAGUUCCUGUGUAAGCAGUGUCCCAGUGUCCCUGCUUGGCUGUUUGUUGCCCUGCAGGCAGAAGAGCCCAGGCCUGAGAUGGCUGAGUGUUGGUGUGACCCACAGUGGGUGUCCCUGCCCUCGGGACAGUCCCCAGAGCUGCCUUUGGCAUCCCCUGCUGAAGGGUGGGAGCUGCCCAGAGCCAGCAGCAUCCAGCUGGAGGAUCCAGGAGGAUGCAGCUCCUGUUGUCUGGGAGGAGAUGGAAUUCCAGUGCUACAGUCUACAUGGCUCGUGGUGCUCCCAAAAGGAGCCUUUGUGCCCUCAGGGAGAAAAUGGGGCAAGCGGGCAGGAAGAAGAGAAGCCCCGUGACUCCUCCCUGAGCCCCAGCCAGCCCCUGAACUGCCUUCCUGGGAAUGGUGGGACGGGCUGGACUCUGGAUUGCUCCCUCUGCAUGUGUGGCUCUCCCCUCAGGAACUGCAGGAACUCCUGGUGCCGCCUGGGCCGAUGGAUUGGACGCCCCAGCCCCUCCGUUCCUGCCCAGCCCCUGGGGCCGUGUCCAGUGGUGGCACUGCCAGCCCUGCAGGGGAAGUGGGAAGGGCCUUUGCAGGUCUUGUGGGUCACAUUGAUAGCAGUGGGAUGGAGCCUGGAAAGUGCACAGAGCUGAGCCAAGGGACUGAAAGGGACCAAGCAAGGGAGGUGAAGAAAGAAGGAAGAAGGGAAGUGAGGCAUCAGCCAAGCAGCACCAAGUUGCUGUGUAAGCAGGAGAAAAUCUGGACAGCGGGAAGGAAGAAGAGAAGCCCCGUGACUCCUCCUGAGCCCCAGCCAGCCCCUGAACUGCCUUCCUGGGAAUGGUGGGACGGGCUGGACUCUGGAUUGCUCCCUCUGGAUGUGUGUGGGAUGUAGCCUGGAAACUGCACAGAGCUGAGCCAAGGGAUUGAAAGGGACCAAGCAAGGGAGGUGAAGAAAGAAGGAAGAAGGGAACUGAGGCAUCAGCCAAGCAGCACCAAGUUGCUGUGUAAGCAGGGACACUGAGCUGGUCCAGCUGUGGCAAGAAGAGCAAGUGUCCUGUGAAGGUUUGGAGCAGUCUGGAGGGUUCCUUGUGCCCAAAGGAUCCUGGAAGUGCAGCCCUGGAGGCAUCAGGAAUAAUGACAAGUGUCCCAUUUCUUGUGAAUCUCAACCGUGUAAAACAUUUAUGGAGCUAAAAUUCCACAGCCUUGAGCUGUUGGCUCCCAGAUAAUAGUGGAGGGAGAGGCAGAGAAUCCCCUGCUGCUGGGGCUGAACUGUGUGCAGUGAGGGGGCAGGACUUGGCCCUGAUGCCUGAGUGCUCUCCAGCCCCCCAGGCUGGAUCCCAACUGUCAGCCCCUGGCUCCAUCCCUUGAGAAGAUGGUGUUCCUGCAAGCCCAGCUGCUGUGCUGGUGGUCCUGGGGGCACCUCCUGCCCUGGCCCGCUGUGCCUGUGUUUGUGUUGCAGCUCAAUAAAGUCCCUUUCAGUGGUGAUUGUGUCAUUUUGGUGUCAGUUCCUCUCCCCUCUUCCCCUGCCCCCGUGGCUGCAUCA